GCUGCCGAGCCGCACGUAGGGUGGGUGGGUGCGGCCUCGCCGGCGGCGCGGAGCGGGCGGCGGGGGCUCCCCUGCCCGCGCUCCCUCACGCACGUACAGAGAGGGGCGAGCGGCCACCGAGGCGGCUGCGGGCACCAGCGCCGGCGUCGGAGAGCCCCGCGCCGCGCAUUUCCCUCAGCUCCUCGUGGUCACAUGGAUGAGUGAAAUCAAAUACACUGUGCCCCGUCAACUCAAACUGCAAAAAUUAAGAGAUCUUACAGACAGACUCUUCCUCAGCUGGUGCCGGGCUGCUCCCUUACCAGCAUCCAGCAGCUUCCUCAUGCGCAGGUAGCUGAUGGUCAGCCUCAUGAUGGACGCCUUGUCCAGGUGCGCGCUCACGGUGUGCGGC